AAAGACGUUCAAAACUUUCAAACCAAGGCCUUGAAGAGUUUCAAAACGAGGUUACACUUACUGCAAUACAGCACCAUGUGAAAGGGAAAAAAAGAUGCUGAUAUAUGAGUACACGCCAAACAAAAGCUUGGAUCACUACGUCUUUGGUGGAGGUCUGUCAAUAUCUUGCAUCGGCUUUUGUUUUGGCCUGUAUUAACUUGCAAAAAUCCGAGGAGGCACCCUGUAUCUUUCUUUUACAAUUUCAAUUCACCAAAGCAGAGUAGUUUAAUACUUGAAUGUGACUGCCAUGGCUCCUUCUCUCUUUGAUCCAAGAAUCCACCUGCCAUAGCCCAAAGACACAAUGUCCGUUCCUUCUUUGAAAAUUCUUCUUUCACUGCCUUUACUCCCCCGUUGCAAAGUCCGGAUAAGAAGGGUUCUCAUAGCCCUGCUGUCUCUUCAAUUAAAAAAUGUUACUCGAAUUUCUCCACUAGAAUCAGUAAGUUCAAACCAAAUUAAAUUUGUAAAUUGCUUCGUUAGUUUACAUAAACGUACAUUCUGCCAUGUUAUAAGAUUUAACCAUAUUAUCAUCUGUAAAAGUAAUUCCUCUUUUAAACAA